rnacentral:rRNA from 1 species
AGCAGCCGCGGUAAUUCCAGCUCCAAUAGCGUAUAUUAAAGUUGCUGCAGUUAAAAAGCUCGUAGUUGAAUUUCGGGACUAAUAUGUCGGUCGUGCCUCGGUACGUACUGGCUUAUUGGUUUCUCCUUUCUGAAGAACCAUGAUGUCAUUUAUUUGGUGUCGUGGGGAAUCAGGACUGUUACUUUGAAAAAUUAGAGUGUUUAAAGCAGGCUCACGCUUGAAUACAUUAGCAUGGAAUAAUGAAAUAGGACGUUUGAUUCUAUUUUGUUGGUUUCUAGGAUCGACGUAAUGAUUAAUAGGGAUAGUUGGGGGCAUUAGUAUUCAAUUGUCAGAGGUGAAAUUCUUGGAUUUAUUGAAGACUAACUACUGCGAAAGCAUUUGCCAAGGAUGUUUUCAUUAAUCAAGAACGAAAGUUAGGGGAUCGAAGACGAUCAGAUACCGUCGUAGUCUUAACCAUAAACUAUGCCGACUAGGGAUCGGAUGAUGUUAAUUUUUAAUGUACUCAUUCGGCGCC